rnacentral:rRNA from 1 species
UACAGGGGGGGGCAAGCGUUGUUCGGAAUUACUGGGCGUAAAGGGCUCGUAGGCGGCCAACUAAGUCCGACGUGAAAUCCCAAAGCUUAACUUUGGAACUGCGUCGGAUACUGGAUGGCUUGAAUUCGGGAGAGGGAUGCAGAAUUCCAGGUGUAGCGGUGAAAUGCGUAGAUAUCUGGAGGAACACCAGUGGCGAAAAGCGGCGCUCUGGGGCCUAAAACUGACGCUGAGGGGCGAAAGCGUGGGGAGCGAACGGG